rnacentral:rRNA from 1 species
UUGACCUCGAAUCAGGUAGGAAUACCCGCUGAACUUAAGCAUAUCAAUAAGCGGAGGAAAAGAAACCAACCGGGAUUACCUCAGUAACGGCGAGUGAAGCGGUAACAGCUCAAAUUUGAAAUCUGGCUCUUGCGGAGUCCGAGUUGUAAUUUGUAGAAGAUGCUUUGGGUUGUGGGUUCGGCCUAAGUUCCUUGGAACAGGACGUCAUAGAGGGUGAGAAUCCCGUAUGUGGCCGAGGCCCGCGCCUAUGUAAAGCUCUUUCAACGAGUCGAGUUGUUUGGGAAUGCAGCUCAAAAUGGGUGGUAAAUUUCAUCUAAAGCUAAAUAUGGGCCAGAGACCGAUAGCGCACAAGUAGAGUGAUCGAAAGAUGAAAAGCACUUUGGAAAGAGAGUUAAACAGUACGUGAAAUUGUUGAAAGGGAAGCGCUUGCAACCAGACUUGGGCGCUGCCGAUCACCUUGAGUUUUCUCGAGUGCACUCGACAGCGCACAGGCCAGCAUCGGUUCGGGUGGCUGGAUAAAGGCCGUAGGAAUGUGGCUCUCUUCGGGGAGUGUUAUAGCCUACGGUGCCAUGCAGCCCAGCCGGACCGAGGACCGCGCCUUCGGGCUAGGAUGCUGGCGUAAUGGUUGUAAGCGACCCGUCUUGAAACACGGACCAAGGAGUCUAACAUCUAUGCGAGUGUUUGGGUGGUAAACCCAUACGCGGAAUGAAAGUGAACGUAGGUGAGAACCCCUUUGGGGCGCAUCAUCGACCGAUCC